AAAUUUUUUUAUUUUUCAAAAUUUGAAAUCUUAUCCCCAAAACCCCACUUCUCAACUCUAAACCCUAAAACCUAAACUCUAAACCCUAAACCCUAAACUCUAAACCCUAAACCCCACCCCUUGAGUGCUAUUUUUGUGACUUUUGGCAUUGAGUGCUAGUUUGGGAACAAAAACUUGAUUUAGUGCUAUUUUGGUCUUUUCUCAUAUUUAUAUACAUAGAACAUUUCUUUUCUUUUUUUGUGACACAUACAUAGAACAUUUCUAAAAUAUAUAUUUUUCGUGUAUAAGAAAAAUCAUAUAUGCAUCAAAAGGUGGGUUUUGUUAUAAAUUAAAUCAACCAAUUCAUAGAAAUAUUCAUAAUUUUUUAUUUAACCAAAAAAAUUGUUUGUUUUCAUAGUUCAAAAACUUAAUAACUAACCACC
rnacentral:lncRNA from 1 species